rnacentral:misc_RNA from 1 species
GAUGAAGAACGCAGCGAAAUGCGAUAAGUAAUGUGAAUUGCAGAAUUCAGUGAAUCAUUGAAUCUUUGAACGCACAUUGCGCCCGCCAGUAUUCUGGCGGGCAUGCCUGUUCGAGCGUCAUUUCAACCAUCAAGCCCCAGGCUUGUGUUGGAGCCCUGCGGCUGCCGCAGCCUCCCAAAACCAGUGGCGGGCUCGCUAUCACACCGAGUGCAGUAGUUUACUCUUCGCUCAGGGCGUGUGGCGGGUGCUAGCCGUAAAACCCCCAACUUCUCAAGGUUGACCUCGGAUCAGGUAGGAAUACCCGCUGAACUUAAGCAUAUCAAUAAGCGGAGGA